rnacentral:rRNA from 1 species
GUUAUAUGGUCAAGUGAAGAAGCGCAUACGGUGGAUGCCUUGGCAGUCAGAGGCGAUGAAAGACGUGGUAGCCUGCGAUAAGCUUCGGGGAGUCGGCAAACAGACUUUGAUCCGGAGAUCUCUGAAUGGGGGAACCCACCUAGGAUAACCUAGGUAUCUUGUACUGAAUCCAUAGGUGCAAGAGGCGAACCAGGGGAACUGAAACAUCUAAGUACCCUGAGGAAAAGAAAUCAACCGAGAUUCCCUUAGUAGUGGCGAGCGAACGGGGAUUAGCCCUUAAGCUUCAUUGAUUUUAGCGGAACGCUCUGGAAAGUGCGGCCAUAGUGGGUGAUAGCCCUGUACGCGAAAGGAUCUUUGAAGUGAAAUCGAGUAGGACGGAGCACGAGAAACUUUGUCUGAACAUGGGGGGACCAUCCUCCAAGGCUAAAUACUACUGACUGACCGAUAGUGAACCAGUACCGUGAGGGAAAGGCGAAAAGAACCCCGGAGAGGGGAGUGAAAUAGAACCUGAAACCGUAUGCGUACAAGCAGUGGGAGCCUACUUGUUAGGUGACUGCGUACCUUUUGUAUAAUGGGUCAGCGACUUAUAUUCAGUGGCGAGCUUAACCGAAUAGGGUAGGCGUAGCGAAAGCGAGUCUUAAUAGGGCGUUUAGUCGCUGGGUAUAGACCCGAAACCGGGCGAUCUAUCCAUGAGCAGGUUGAAGGUUAGGUAACACUGACUGGAGGACCGAACCCACUCCCGUUGAAAAGGUAGGGGAUGACUUGUGGAUCGGAGUGAAAGGCUAAUCAAGCUCGGAGAUAGCUGGUUCUCCUCGAAAGCUAUUUAGGUAGCGCCUCAUGUAUCACUCUGGGGGGUAGAGCACUGUUUCGGCUAGGGGGUCAUCCCGACUUACCAAACCGAUGCAAACUCCGAAUACCCAGAAGUGCCGAGCAUGGGAGACACACGGCGGGUGCUAACGUCCGUCGUGAAAAGGGAAACAACCCAGACCGCCAGCUAAGGUCCCAAAGUUGUGGUUAAGUGGUAAACGAUGUGGGAAGGCUUAGACAGCUAGGAGGUUGGCUUAGAAGCAGCCAUCCUUUAAAGAAAGCGUAAUAGCUCACUAGUCGAGUCGGCCUGCGCGGAAGAUGUAACGGGGCUCAAACCACACACCGAAGCUGCGGGUGUCACGUAAGUGACGCGGUAGAGGAGCGUUCUGUAAGCCUGUGAAGGUGAGUUGAGAAGCUUGCUGGAGGUAUCAGAAGUGCGAAUGCUGACAUGAGUAACGACAAUGGGUGUGAAAAACACCCACGCCGAAAGACCAAGGGUUCCUGCGCAACGUUAAUCGACGCAGGGUUAGUCGGUUCCUAAGGCGAGGCUGAAAAGCGUAGUCGAUGGGAAACAGGUUAAUAUUCCUGUACUUCUGGUUACUGCGAUGGAGGGACGGAGAAGGCUAGGCCAGCUUGGCGUUGGUUGUCCAAGUUUAAGGUGGUAGGCUGAAAUCUUAGGUAAAUCCGGGGUUUCAAGGCCGAGAGCUGAUGACGAGUCGUCUUUUAGAUGACGAAGUGGUUGAUGCCAUGCUUCCAAGAAAAGCUUCUAAGCUUCAGGUAACCAGGAACCGUACCCCAAACCGACACAGGUGGUCGGGUAGAGAAUACCAAGGCGCUUGAGAGAACUCGGGUGAAGGAACUAGGCAAAAUGGCACCGUAACUUCGGGAGAAGGUGCGCCGGCUAGGGUGAAGGAUUUACUCCGUAAGCUCUGGCUGGUCGAAGAUACCAGGCCGCUGCGACUGUUUAUUAAAAACACAGCACUCUGCAAACACGAAAGUGGACGUAUAGGGUGUGACGCCUGCCCGGUGCCGGAAGGUUAAUUGAUGGGGUUAGCGCAAGCGAAGCUCUUGAUCGAAGCCCCGGUAAACGGCGGCCGUAACUAUAACGGUCCUAAGGUAGCGAAAUUCCUUGUCGGGUAAGUUCCGACCUGCACGAAUGGCGUAACGAUGGCGGCGCUGUCUCCACCCGAGACUCAGUGAAAUUGAAAUCGCUGUGAAGAUGCAGUGUAUCCGCGGCUAGACGGAAAGACCCCGUGAACCUUUACUGUAGCUUUGCACUGGACUUUGAGCCUGCUUGUGUAGGAUAGGUGGGAGGCUUUGAAGCGUGGACGCCAGUUCGCGUGGAGCCAUCCUUGAAAUACCACCCUGGCAUGCUUGAGGUUCUAACUCUGGUCCGUGAUCCGGAUCGAGGACAGUGUAUGGUGGGCAGUUUGACUGGGGCGGUCUCCUCCUAAAGAGUAACGGAGGAGUACGAAGGUGCGCUCAGACCGGUCGGAAAUCGGUCGCAGAGUAUAAAGGCAAAAGCGCGCUUGACUGCGAGACAGACACGUCGAGCAGGUACGAAAGUAGGUCUUAGUGAUCCGGUGGUUCUGUAUGGAAGGGCCAUCGCUCAACGGAUAAAAGGUACUCCGGGGAUAACAGGCUGAUACCGCCCAAGAGUUCAUAUCGACGGCGGUGUUUGGCACCUCGAUGUCGGCUCAUCACAUCCUGGGGCUGAAGCCGGUCCCAAGGGUAUGGCUGUUCGCCAUUUAAAGUGGUACGCGAGCUGGGUUUAGAACGUCGUGAGACAGUUCGGUCCCUAUCUGCCGUGGACGUUUGAGAUUUGAGAGGGGCUGCUCCUAGUACGAGAGGACCGGAGUGGACGAACCUCUGGUGUUCCGGUUGUCACGCCAGUGGCAUUGCCGGGUAGCUAUGUUCGGAAAAGAUAACCGCUGAAAGCAUCUAAGCGGGAAACUUGCCUCAAGAUGAGAUCUCACUGGGAACUUGAUUCCCCUGAAGGGCCGUCGAAGACUACGACGUUGAUAGGCUGGGUGUGUAAGCGUUGUGAGGCGUUGAGCUAACCAGUACUAAUUGCCCGUGAGGCUUGACCAUAUAACACCCAAACA